rnacentral:rRNA from 1 species
UACGUAGGGUGCGAGCGUUAUUCGGAAUUACUGGGCGUAAAGUGUGCGCAGGCGGCUUCGCAAGUCGAGUGUGAAAUCCCCGAGCUUAACUUGGGAAUUGCGCUCGAAACUACGGAGCUGGAGUGUGGCAGAGGAAGGUGGAAUUCCACGUGUAGCGGUGAAAUGCGUAGAGAUGUGGAGGAACACCGAUGGCGAAGGCAGCCUUCUGGGCCAACACUGACGCUCAUGCACGAAAGCGUGGGGAGCAAACAGG